rnacentral:rRNA from 1 species
GACGAAGGGGGCUAGCGUUGUUCGGAAUCACUGGGCGUAAAGCGCACGUAGGCGGCUUUUUAAGUCAGGGGUGAAAUCCUGGAGCUCAACUCCAGAACUGCCUUUGAUACUGAGAGCUUGAGUCCGGGAGAGGUGAGUGGAACUGCGAGUGUAGAGGUGAAAUUCGUAGAUAUUCGCAAGAACACCAGUGGCGAAGGCGGCUCACUGGCCCGGUACUGACGCUGAGGUGCGAAAGCGUGGGGAGCAAACAGG